AUUGAACGCUGGCGGCAGGCCUAACACAUGCAAGUCGAACGGUAACAGGAAGAAGCUUGCUUCUUUGCUGACGAGUGGCGGACGGGUGAGUAAUGUCUGGGAAACUGCCUGAUGGAGGGGGAUAACUACUGGAAACGGUAGCUAAUACCGCAUAACGUCGCAAGACCAAAGAGGGGGACCUUCGGGCCUCUUGCCAUCGGAUGUGCCCAGAUGGGAUUAGCUAGUAGGUGGGGUAACGGCUCACCUAGGCGACGAUCCCUAGCUGGUCUGAGAGGAUGACCAGCCACACUGGAACUGAGACACGGUCCAGACUCCUACGGGAGGCAGCGGUGGGGAAUAUUGCACAAUGGGCGCAAGCCUGAUGCAGCCAUGCCGCGUGUAUGAAGAAGGCCUUCGGGUUGUAAAGUACUUUCAGCGGGGAGGAAGGGAGUAAAGUUAAUACCUUGGCUCAUUGACGUUACCCGCAGAAGAAGCACCGGCUAACUCCGUG
rnacentral:rRNA from 1 species